GUUUUGUCUUUCUCUACAGAGUUCCUAUUAUGUUGGUGGGAAAUAAGAACGACCUGCACAUGGAAAGGGUGAUCAGCUGUGAGGAAGGGAAAUCACUAGCAGAAUCAUGGAACGCUGCCUUCAUGGAAUCCUCAGCUAAAGAGAACCAGACAGCGGUGGAGGUGUUCAAGAGGAUGAUCCUGGAGGCGGAGAAGCUGGAAGGUGGCGUCCAACCAGGGAAGACAUCCUGCUCCUUGAUGUAGAGCUGCUGAUCAAUCAGAACAGAGAACCGAACACUACACUGGCAUAUCCAGUUACUUGAAGGCUUCCUGCCAGUACAACUACUACUCUUCCAACUGUCUUCAACUCACCAACAGUUUAUCUUUCAGUAUUUCUGUUUGUCAUGAACGGGUGAGUGGCUGUCAUUCUGUACAUUUCCCACAAUCCACUUCUCGUCUGUUCUGUGCUCAGCCCUGAUCCGAAACUGAGAGCCACAUCCAGAAAUAGACCCUAUACCUUUACCCCCCCCCCCCCCCCUAGUCACUUCUCUUAGCCCCUUGCAUCCAGGGUGUGGGGUUUAGGGUCUGUUUCGGUAGCCUUGUUUGACCGUCCUGAUCUUGCAAAAGUACAGCGGUCAGGAUGGUAGAUCAGACUACUGUUUCUCACUUGGGGCUGCACAGGUGUCCAUUCUGGCUUUAUGGUGGACGGGUGAUUAUGGAAGAUCAGAGAUGUUCAACCUCCUCAUAUUAGAGAUGCUAUGAAGACCGAACAUUCCCUUCUAUUGAAUUGUGUUUUUUUAAAUAUUUUUUUAUUUAAACAAUGGUUGUUUUAUCUUCUGUUCUCUAUCUAUGUAAUUAGUCCACUGUGUCACCAGGAUGGAGCUAGCAUGCCAUGGUUGUUUUCAUGCAUACUAAGCUGUUCAUUUUAGUGUAUUGUUUCAAAGGAAACAAACACUCAUUAGGAUCAGGUGUGGUUAAUUAGUGGGCGUGGCCAACACACCUGACCACGCUUAACAAGAGAGUUGUGUUGAUGCAGAGAACGGAAUGUAUGUUUUUAAAUAACUUUCGUAACAUUGAGAGAAUGUUUUCUGUGGUUUUUAUGGAACUUUUGACUUUAAAUAAAACCACGAGGAAACGUGUCGGAAACGUUAUGCUGUAGUACUAAAAUUCCCACAGAAGAACGUUGUUUCUUAACGUUCACUGAACUCUUUUAAAAUGUCAAACCAGUUGGAGAACGUUUCUAGAUCAUUACCAAAAUUGAAAUUAAAUGUAACCAUGUUUGACAUUUUUGGGAAACGUUCUGUUAAAGUAAUGAAAUACCAAGAAAAUGUCAUUUUCGAAAGUUACAUAAUUGUGCUGAGAAUGUUCCAAAGCCAAUCAACUACCCUGCACCAUUCCCAGAACGUUGUGAGAAGGUUGUAUGCAAAAUAACUAUAGGACAACCGCACACUCACCAAGCACUAAGAAACGUUCUCAGAACGUCGUGUGCUAGCUGGGCUCUGUCAUUGUUGUCAUUGUCAAUCCGUACAUCACUAAAACUUUUAUAGGAAAUCUUCCAAUAAACUUCAGGGAGAAUCCUAACUUAAGUUAAAUAUUCAGCUCGUCUCCCAUUGACAUCAACGCAUGAAUAAGUGAACAUUUAAUUUAUGUGUAAGUUAAGAUUUGUUCUUUAGUCAUUUCUGAUGCAUUAGUAGCUGUUCAUCUGUCCCUCUUAUCCCUCUAGCUCUUUCUUUAUCUACUUAAUUUUCCCACAUCGUUGUCAGUCAGAUGUGUCCACCCCCCUCCCAUAGCUGUUUUUGUCACCAGACAAAAUAUCUGCAUCGUAUUUUCUAACGUUGUACAAAAUAGUUUUUUUGAUUGUAAUCAUUAAAGCAAAAAUGGAUUAUU